rnacentral:rRNA from 1 species
AUUGAACGCUGGCGGCAGGCCUAACACAUGCAAGUCGAGCGGAUGAAGGGAGCUUGCUCCUGGAUUCAGCGGCGGACGGGUGAGUAAUGCCUAGGAAUCUGCCUGGUAGUGGGGGAUAACGUCCGGAAACGGGCGCUAAUACCGCAUACGUCCUGAGGGAGAAAGUGGGGGUUCUUCGGACCUCACGCUAUCAGAUGACCCUAGGUCGGAUUAGCUAGUUGGUGGGGUAAAGGCCUACCAAGGCGACGAUCCGUAACUGGUCUGAGAGGAUGAUCAGUCACACUGGAACUGAGACACGGUCCAGACUCCUACGGGAGGCAGCAGUGGGGAAUAUUGGACAAUGGGCGAAAGCCUGAUCCAGCCAUGCCGCGUGUGUGAAGAAGGUCUUCGGAUUGUAAAGCACUUUAAGUUGGGAGGAAGGGCAGUAAGUUAAUACCUUGCUGUUUUGACGUUACCAACAGAAUAAGCACCGGCUAACUUCGUG